GAUUUCUGGCUUGACGCGCUUGGCCCGCCUCGGUUACGAGUGUGGGAGCCGAUGCGCGUCUGCCAUCCUUCCAGUAAACGGCGUCACCCUUCACUGGGCUGGCGUCGCGAACUGGAUCAAUUACUUUGAAAAAAUUAGAGUGUUUCAAGCAGGCUUUAUGCUAUGAAUACAUUAGCAUGGAAUAAUAAUUUAGGACUUCGGUUCUAUUUUGUUGGUUUCUAGGACUGAAGUAAUGAUUGAUAGGGAUAGUUGGGGGUGCUAGUAUUCAGCGGCCAGAGGUGAAAUUCUCGGAUUCGCUGAAGACUAACUUAUGCGAAAGCAUU
rnacentral:rRNA from 1 species